UACGGAGGGAGCGAGCGUUAUUCGGAAUUAUUGGGCGUAAAGGGCGCGUAGGCGGCUUGGCAAGUUGGGUGUGAAAGCCCAGGGCUCAACCCUGGAAUUGCACUCAAGACUGCCUUGCUUGAAUUCGGUAGAGGUUGGUGGAAUUCCCAGUGUAGAGGUGAAAUUCGUAGAGAUUGGGAAGAACACCCGUGGCGAAGGCGGCCAACUGGACCGACAUUGACGCUGAGGCGCGAAAGCGUGGGGAUCAAACAGG
rnacentral:rRNA from 1 species